rnacentral:rRNA from 1 species
AGAGUUUGAUCCUGGCUCAGGAUGAACGCUAGCUACAGGCUUAACACAUGCAAGUCGAGGGGCAGCAUGGUCUUAGCUUGCUAAGACCGAUGGCGACCGGCGCACGGGUGAGUAACGCGUAUCCAACCUCCCCCACAGUAGCGGAUAGCCCGGCGAAAGUCGGAUUAAUACGCUAUGUGGUGCAGUAUUGGCAUCAUGGCCGCACGAAAGAUUUAUCGCUGUGGGAUGGGGAUGCGUCUGAUUAGCUUGUCGGCGGGGUAACGGCCCACCGAGGCGACGAUCAGUAGGGGUUCUGAGAGGAAGGUCCCCCACAUUGGUACUGAGACACGGACCAAACUCCUACGGGAGGCAGCAGUGAGGAAUAUUGGUCAAUGGCCGGAAGGCUGAACCAGCCAAGUAGCGUGCAGGACGACGGCCCUACGGGUUGUAAACUGCUUUUAUAGGGGAAUAAAGUGUGGUACGUGUACCGUUUUGUAUGUACCCUAUGAAUAAGGACCGGCUAAUUCCGUGCCAGCAGCCGCGGUAAUACGGAAGAUGCGAGCGUUAUCCGGAUUUAUUGGGUUUAAAGGGUGCGUAGGCGGUGGUGUAAGUCAGCCGUGAAAUGUCGGGGCCCAACCCCGGCCUGCGGUUGAAACUGCAUUACUUGAAUGCGUUCGAGGUGCGUGGAAUUCGUGGUGUAGCGGUGAAAUGCUUAGAUAUCACGAAGAACUCCGAUUGCGAAGGCAGCGCACCAGGCCGUGAUUGACGCUGAGGCACGAAAGUGCGGGAAUCAAACAGGAUUAGAUACCCUGGUAGUCCGCACCGUAAACGAUGAAUGCUCAUUUUUGGCGAUACACAGUCAGAAACCAAGCGAAAGCAUUAAGCAUUCCACCUGGGGAGUACGCCGGCAACGGUGAAACUCAAAGGAAUUGACGGGGGCCCGCACAAGCGGAGGAACAUGUGGUUUAAUUCGAUGAUACGCGAGGAACCUUACCCGGGCUUGAACUGAGCAGGACGGUGCGCAGAGACGCGCUCUUUCUUCGGACCUGCUUGGAGGUGCUGCAUGGUUGUCGUCAGCUCGUGCCGUGAGGUGUCGGCUUAAGUGCCAUAACGAGCGCAACCCUCGCCGCCAGUUGCCAUCGGGUGAUGCCGGGCACUCUGGGGGGACUGCCAUCGCAAGAUGUGAGGAAGGUGGGGAUGACGUCAAAUCAGCACGGCCCUUACGUCCGGGGCUACACACGUGUUACAAUGGGGGGCACAGAGAGUUGCCGCAUCGCGAGUUGCGGCGGAUCAAGAAAUCCCCUCUCAGUUCGGACUGGAGUCUGCAACCCGACUCCACGAAGCUGGAUUCGCUAGUAAUCGCGCAUCAGCCAUGGCGCGGUGAAUACGUUCCCGGGCCUUGCACACACAGCCCGUCA